AGCGCAGGCGGUUUAAUAAGUCUGAAGUUAAAGGCAGUGGCUUAACCAUUGUUCGCUUUGGAAACUGUUAAACUUGAGUGCAGAAGGGGAGAGUGGAAUUCCAUGUGUAGCGGUGAAAUGCGUAGAUAUAUGGAGGAACACCGGUGGCGAAAGCGGCUCUCUGGUCUGUAACUGACGCUGAGGCUCGAAAGCGUGGGGAGCAAACA
rnacentral:rRNA from 1 species